rfam:Sarcophilus harrisii ctg7180002449060, whole genome shotgun sequence.
AACCAGGAUCUUAUAAGAUCCAUAUCUUAUAUUGGAUAAGUUAUUAU